UACAUGGGGUGCAAACGUUGCUCGGAAUCAUUGGGCGUAAAGCGCGCGUAGGCGGUUACUUAAGUUGGAUGUGAAAGCCCUCGGCUUAACCGAGGAAGUGCAUCCAAAACUGAGUAGCUAGAGUACGAAAGAGGGUCGCGGAAUUCCCGGUGUAGAGGUGAAAUUCGUAGAUAUCGGGAGGAACACCGGUGGCGAAGGCGGCGACCUGGGUAGAUACUGACGCUGAGGCGCGAAAGCGUGGGGAGCAAACAGG
rnacentral:rRNA from 1 species